GGAGCGGCCGUGUUGUGUUGUCCGCUUCUGCCCGGAAUCGGGGGGGGAUGGGGCUUCCCAGAAAAAAAAAACGGCACGGUAAAUGCACACCGCUGCGUCUGUGGCGGCGUCUCGCGCGCCGAGAGCCGUUGGGACGCGCGAAGAAACGGUUCCUCGAGGUCGAAAUAAGUUUGAAAGAAAAAAAGAGAGAAGAAGUUAAAUUGCAAAGCGCACCACAAAACACCGGAGAUGAACACAAGGAGAGCGGGGCAGUCCGCGCUGCACGACGCCGGUUCCGCGGCACCGGCACACGUUUACUGUUUCGCACGGUGACGGUGCGAGUGGCAGCGAGAUGGUGUGACCCGUGCGCGCGACCGCCGCCUCGCUCAUGAACGCUCGCGGUGGAAGCGUAGCGGGGGCGCGCUGGAGAUGAGAGACGCGCGCGCGAGAGAGAGAGAGAGAGAAAGAGAGAGAGAGAACGAGCACGAGCGUUUAGUGGGUUCGCAUCGCGGGACACGGCUGGCCGGUGGGCCGACGGCUCCGCGCCGCGACAACGGCUGUUUUUAUCGGAAACGCGAAGCGGGCGACACGGGAACGCGCUGGAGAAGGAGACAGAGCGCGUGCGAGACGAGGCGUCAUGUUUCUCCACGCGGCAGGUGUACGGACAACCGAGUUGGCUGCGGGAAGCCGCGACUCGACGCCCGGCGGCGGCGGCCGGACUCCUGCUUCUCCCGGGGCUCUGUGAGCGCGGAACCGCCCGGCGGCGCGAGGGGGAUUUGUUGCGAUGAAGAUGUCAGUGAAGAAAUUUGGGUAAAUUCUGCGAUCUCGGUAGCGCCAGCAGACGGGCGAACAUCAGCGGAUGUGCACAGCAGCAGUCGGUUUCUCUUCCCCACCCCUCCUUUACAUUAUGUUACUUCUUAACCACAGAGGGAAAGACAGGAAGGAGCAUCGUGGAAGUAUCCUUGGCCAGUGAUGGAUGUUCUGCUGUGCUGCCAUGCUAAAGGAAGGCUUUGUACUGAAGAUGUUCUGUGAUGUCUGUGAUGAGGGUCUUUAAAAACCGUUGCUAGAAGUGAGCAGAAUAAAAAAAAAAAAAAAAAAAAAAAGUGGUUAAGU
rnacentral:lncRNA from 1 species